GUGAGGAAUAUUGGUCAAUGGGCGAGAGCCUGAACCAGCCAAGUCGCGUGAAGGAAGACUGUCCUAUGGAUUGUAAACUUCUUUUGUAAGGGAAUAAAAAGAGUUACGUGUAACUUAUUGUAUGUACUUUACGAAUAAGGAUCGGCUAACUCCGUGCCAGCAGCCGCGGUAAUACGGAGGAUCCAAGCGUUAUCCGGAUUUAUUGGGUUUAAAGGGUGCGUAGGCGGAAGAUUAAGUCAGUGGUGAAAGUUUGCAGCUCAACUGUAAAAUUGCCAUUGAAACUGAUUUUCUUGAGUGCAAAUGAGGUAGGCGGAAUGUGUUGUGUAGCGGUGAAAUGCUUAGAUAUAACACAGAACACCGAUUGCGAAGGCAGCUUACUAGAAUGCAACUGACGCUGAGGCACGAAAGCGUGGGGAUCAAACAGGAUUAGAAACCCUUGUAGUCC
rnacentral:rRNA from 1 species